GAUGAACGCUGACAGAAUGCUUAACACAUGCAAGUCUACUUGAUCCUUCGGGUGAAGGUGGCGGACGGGUGAGUAACGCGUAAAGAACUUGCCUUACAGACUGGGACAACAUUUGGAAACGAAUGCUAAUACCGGAUAUUAUGAUUGGGUCGCAUGAUCUGGUUAUGAAAGCUAUAUGCGCUGUGAGAGAGCUUUGCGUCCCAUUAGUUAGUUGGUGAGGUAACGGCUCACCAAGACGAUGAUGGGUAGCCGGCCUGAGAGGGUGAACGGCCACAAGGGGACUGAGACACGGCCCUUACUCCUACGGGAGGCAGCAGUGGGGAAUAUUGGACAAUGGACCAAAAGUCUGAUCCAGCAAUUCUGUGUGCACGAUGAAGUUUUUCGGAAUGUAAAGUGCUUUCAGUUGGGAAGAAGUCAGUGACGGUACCAACAGAAGAAGCGACGGCUAAAUACGUGCCAGCAGCCGCGGUAAUACGUAUGUCGCAAGCGUUAUCCGGAUUUAUUGGGCGUAAAGCGCGUCUAGGCGGCUUAGUAAGUCUGAUGUGAAAAUGCGGGGCUCAACCCCGUAUUGCGUUGGAAACUGCUAAACUAGAGUACUGGAGAGGUAGGCGGAACUACAAGUGUAGAGGUGAAAUUCGUAGAUAUUUGUAGGAAUGCCGAUGGGGAAGCCAGCCUACUGGACAGAUACUGACGCUAAAGCGCGAAAGCGUGGGUAGCAAACAGGAUUAGAUACCCUGGUAGUCCACGCCGUAAACGAUGAUUACUAGGUGUUGGGGGUCGAACCUCAGCGCCCAAGCUAACGCGAUAAGUAAUCCGCCUGGGGAGUACGUACGCAAGUG
rnacentral:rRNA from 1 species